AUACUUACCUGGCAGGGGAGAUACCAUGACCAUGAUGAUGGUUUUUCCCAGGGCAAGACUUAUCCAUUGCACUCCAGAUGUGAAGACCCCUGUGGUCUCCCCAAAUGUGGGAACCUCAACUGCAUACUUUGGGGUAGCGGGGCACUAUAUUUCUGAUCUCCCCUG
ensembl:snRNA U1 U1 spliceosomal RNA